CAGGCCCAGGCCAUGGCGGGUGGAUGGGCACCGGGGGCCCGGGAGAAGGGCGGAGCGCUGUGCCGGGCCGGCGACGAGGCCGGUGACGGCGGCGACGCCAGGAGUCUGCAGUGUGCGAGCGAGAAGUGAGCGCAGAGCGCCCGGCGAGCAGGUGCCUGUGGCGGGGAGAGCGCACGAGCGAGCAGCAGCCGGCAAGACAGAGAUGUCACAGCAGGACGCCACUGGCCUCACAGUGGCAGAUUGGGCCUCACUUCCUGCCUCCUCCUUUGCUGGCUGACAUGCGCUGGGCCUUUUACAAUCAAAGAAAUCUAGGAAAAGCUGCUCACCAUAUGUCCCCUCUGGAGAGCUGCAGACAGCUGAACGUGCUGAAGGUUCUGAGAAGUCCUGCAAGAGGAUCCAGCCAGAACUUGAGCCCAAGAGGCGGACCGGGAGGAAAAUCCAAUCAGACAACAGUGCCUCGUUUUCUGGGACUCAGAGUACCCUCCGUGAGGGCGGCCGGCGGCUCCAGCCUGCAGCCGCUUCACGGGGCAGAGGCUGGAACACCCACCAGCAGGCCACGUCCUGACGAGUCAGCAGGCCCGCGCUGAGCUCCUGCAUGUGCCAGAGGCCAGAUUGUGGAAGAGGCUGGCUGGUGCUCCUGGGAGUGACCUGGCCCCGAGGACAGAGCUGUGGGUGCCACGGAGAGCCUUGAGUCCAACUCCCCGGAGCACUGGACAGUGACCAGCACCCUCUGAUGUGGCAUGGCUGCUGCAGGCAGCUGUGACAGAGCGUGCUGAGAAAGGGGAGUGCCACCCUCUCUGGUCCCAGGUACAGGAAAUGGACACGGGCCGCAGCUGCAGGAGCUGCCGACGACAGGUGCUGCACCAGAGGAGGCAGAGGCGAGCGGCAGGAACAUUAUUGGAGACGGUUUCCAGAGGAGCAUCCAGGAAGCUGGGAAGCGAUAGAACAGAUGGUCCCAUUGUGAAAUCUGGCCUUUCCCUCCCGCCUUGUGGGCAAGAGUCCUCUGUUCAGGCCCACGGCCCUGCCACUGCCCAGGACCGGGGGAUGGAGUGUCCGGCUUGCUAUCCUCACACAGCUGUGGAAACUGAGGCACAGAAAGGGAAGUGACUUGAUGAACAUCACAUGGCGAGGGAGUGGCGGAGCUGGGAUUUGAAGAUCUCCCAUCUGUGCUGUUUUCCCCGGUGUCUUGAGAACAAACAGCCCUGAGUGAUGAAAUCUCCGGGGCACCUGGCUGUGCGGACUCGAGGCCACUGGCCCUCCCGGCCCUCC
rnacentral:lncRNA from 1 species